rnacentral:rRNA from 1 species
GAUGAACGCUGGCGGCGUGCCUAAUACAUGCCAGUCGAGCGAACAGACGAGGAGCUUGCUCCUCUGACGUUAGCGGCGGACGGGUGAGUAACACGUGGAUAACCUACCUAUAAGACUGGGAUAACUUCGGGAAACCGGAGCUAAUACCGGAUAAUAUAUUGAACCGCAUGGUUCAAUAGUGAAAGACGGUUUUGCUGUCACUUAUAGAUGGAUCCGCGCCGCAUUAGCUAGUUGGUAAGGUAACGGCUUACCAAGGCAACGAUGCGUAGCCGACCUGAGAGGGUGGUCGGCCACACUGGAACUGAGACACGGUCCAGACUCCUACGGGAGGCAGCAGUAGGGAAUCUUCCGCAAUGGGCGAAAGCUUGACGGAGCAACGCCGCGGGAGUGAUGAAGGUCUUCGGAUCGUAAAACUCUGUUAUUAGGGAAGAACAAAUGUGUAAGUAACUAUGCACGUCUUGACGGUACCUAAUCAGAAAGCCACGGCUAACUACGUG